CGCUGGCGGCGUGCUUACACAUGCAGUCGAACGAGAAAGGGAUGCUUGCAAUCCUGAGUAGAGUGGGCACGGGUGAGUACACGUAAUAUCUGCUUCAAGCCUGGGAUAACUAUCCGAAAGGAUAGCUAAUACCGGAUAAAGUCGAUUACACAAGUAGACCGAUGAAAGAUUGCCUCUUCUUGAAAGCAAUUGUNUGGGGAUGAGUUUGCGUACCAUUAGCUGGUUGGUGGGGUAAAGGCCUACCAAGGCUGCGAUGGUUAGCUGGUCUGAGAGGAUGAUCAGUCACACUGGAACUGGAACACGGUCCAGACUCCUACGGGAGGCAGCAGUGAGGAAUUUUGCGCAAUGGGGGCAACCCUGACGCAGCAACGCCGCGUGAGUGAAGAAGGCCUUUGGGUCGUAAAGCUCUGUCAACAAGGAAGAAAUUAGGAUCUAUUAAUAGUGGGUUCUAUUGACGGUACUUGUGGAGGAAGCGCCGGCUAACUCCGUGCCAGCAGCCGCGGUAACACGGGGGGCGCAAGCGUUAUUCGGAAUUAUUGGGCGUAAAGGGCGCGCAGGCGGUCUUGUCCGUCAGGUGUGAAAGCCCGGGGCUCAACCCCGGAGGUGCACUUGAAACAGCACGACUUGAAUACGG
rnacentral:rRNA from 1 species